GGGUUGUGAGGUUAAGCGACUAAGCGUACACGGUGGAUGCCCUGGCAGUCAGAGGCGAUGAAGGACGUGCUAAUCUGCGUAAAGCGUCGGUAAGGUGAUAUGAACCGCUACAGCCGACGAUGUCCGAAUGGGGAAACCCGGUGCACUCAGUGCAUCAUCGCAACAUGAAUACAUAGUGUUGCGAGGCGAACCUGGGGAACUGAAACAUCUAAGUACCCAGAGGAAAAGAAAUCAACCGAGAUUCCCCCAGUAGCGGCGAGCGAACGGGGAACAGCCCAGAACCUGAAUCAGUUUGUGCGUUAGUGGAAGCGUCUGGAAAGUCGCGCGAUACCGGGUGAUAGCCCCGUACACGAAAGUGCACAUACUGUGAGUUCGAAGAGUAGGGCGGGACACGUGGUAUCCUGUCUGAAUAUGGGGGGACCAUCCUCCAAGGCUAAAUACUCCUGACUGACCGAUAGUGAACCAGUACCGUGAGGGAAAGGCGAAAAGAACCCCGGCGAGGGGAGUGAAACAGAACCUGAAACCGUGUACGUACAAGCAGUGGGAGCCUCAUUUAUGGGGUGACUGCGUACCUUUUGUAUAAUGGGUCAGCGACUUAUAUUCUGUAGCAAGGUUAACCGUAUAGGGGAGCCGCAGGGAAACCGAGUCUUAACUGGGCGUUAAGUUGCAGGGUAUAGACCCGAAACCCGGUGAUCUAGCCAUGGGCAGGUUGAAGGUUGGGUAACACUAACUGGAGGACCGAACCGACUAAUGUUGAAAAAUUAGCGGAUGACUUGUGGCUGGGGGUGAAAGGCCAAUCAAACCGGGAGAUAGCUGGUUCUCCCCGAAAGCUAUUUAGGUAGCGCCUCGUGAACUCAUCUUCGGGGGUAGAGCACUGUUUCGGCUAGGGGGCCAUCCCGGCUUACCAACCCGAUGCAAACUGCGAAUACCGAAGAAUGUUAUCACGGGAGACACACGGCGGGUGCUAACGUCCGUCGUGAAGAGGGAAACAACCCAGACCGCCAGCUAAGGUCCCAAAGUCAUGGUUAAGUGGGAAACGAUGUGGGAAGGCACAGACAGCCAGGAUGUUGGCUUAGAAGCAGCCAUCAUUUAAAGAAAGCGUAAUAGCUCACUGGUCGAGUCGGCCUGCGCGGAAGAUGUAACGGGGCUAAACCAUGCACCGAAGCUGCGGCAGCGACGCUUAUGCGUUGUUGGGUAGGGGAGCGUUCUGUAAGCCGUUGAAGGUGUCCUGUGAGGGGUGCUGGAGGUAUCAGAAGUGCGAAUGCUGACAUAAGUAACGAUAAAGCGGGUGAAAAGCCCGCUCGCCGGAAGACCAAGGGUUCCUGUUCAACGUUAAUCGGAGCAGGGUGAGUCGACCCCUAAGGCGAGGCUGAAAAGCGUAGUCGAUGGGAAGCAGGUUAAUAUUCCUGCACUUGGUGUUACUGCGAAGGGGGGACGGAGAAGGCUAGGUUAUCCGGGCGACGGUUGUCCCGGUUUAAGCGUGUAGGCUGAUAUCUUUGGUAAAUCCGGG
rnacentral:rRNA from 1 species